rnacentral:rRNA from 1 species
UACGUAGGGGGCGAGCGUUGUCCGGAUUUAUUGGGCGUAAAGAGCGUGUAGGCGGUUAGGUAGGUCCGGUGUGAAAACUCGAGGCUUAACCUCGAGAGGUCGCCGGAAACCAUCUGGCUAGAGUCCGGAAGAGGAGAGUGGAAUUCCUGGUGUAGCGGUGAAAUGCGCAGAUAUCAGGAAGAACACCGAUGGCGAAAGCAGCUCUCUGGGACGGUACUGACGCUGAGACGCGAAAGCGUGGGGAGCGAACAGG